GCCUAUUUGAAUUCAUGAGAAACGAGUUCUCGUAAAUUUUCUCCCACACAAAAGCCUUCCCAGACCCUCCCUUGUGCGCCAUUUGAGUGGAUAAAGAUUGAUUAGUUGGCCAUUCAAAUUCAAAAGAUGUUUGAAUUUGAAUGAGCAACUAAUCCCAUGCGCCACCUUAUCCACUUGUGCGCCACUUGCUCUACAUAAGAAAAAGUUUCUCAUGUAAACUCUCCAUGCACAAAGAACCCACGCCCCCUUCUUCGCUCGCCUUGAGUGGAUAAGGAUAGGUUGGUUGGCAUUUGAAUUCAAAUUCG
rnacentral:lncRNA from 1 species